CUACGGUUAGACUACGAAGGUUUGUACAAUUUAUGAAAAUUAAAACAAAUUUGAAUGUCAUAUCACAAAGUUGUCACAUGACAAUGUCGCGUGUUGUUUAUGAAAUGGAAUAAAUAAAAAAUGCGGUCCAACAAAAUUUUAAAUGAGAACUCAGAAAUGAAGUAAUGUGCUGGGGUAACGUGUAUAUCAGCAAUGAUGCUAUAAGUACCGUAGCACAGAUAAUCUUUUGUGUAGUUUUCUGCGCCCUCGGCCUCAUAGCCUUGUUCGUCCUGGUAAUUAGUGACGUUAUUUAGUGAAAACGUAACGUGAUGUUGAAAAGCGAAAUGUAUGGACGUAUAUUGACGUGGAAAAAAGAUCUACAUGUAAUGGAUAACAUGUUUAUUUAUUUCGAUAUACAUUUUUGUGGUUUUUAUGUAAAUUGUGCUUCUAUUUUUAAUAA